AGUGGGUUUGGAAUGAGACCUAGGCUAGUUUCCCUAGACAUGCUUUGUUUGUUUGUUUUUUGGUACCCAGGAUUGAACUCGGGACCUUGCGCUAGGUGCCAGAACCACUGAGCUAGAUCCCUGGCCCCCUAGACCCUUUCUUGUUAAGGGGACUAAUAAGUGAAUUAUAAACAGCCUUAGGCUUUGUCAUUCAAAGAGAAUCCUCACUAUGGCAUGCCUCAAGUCUGUUUUGUUUAUAUUCUAUGUGUAACAUACUCUGUUGCUACCUUCUUAGGUUAUAUUUAUCAUGGUUUUGUAUCUGUGUUUAAGUAGUGUUCUGUCCAAUACUGGGCUCAUCUUGACAAUCUUUUUGUAUUCCCAAGUAGUAAAUGCUUUGGGUGAAUAAAAGGUUCUAAUAAAAAAAAAAAAGUUAAAACAGAACAGAAAAAUUUUAUCUGCAAUCAGAAAAAAGGCUAGAAGACACUAUGCAAAAAUGUUUAUAUAAUGGUCUCUAUGAAAUUAUGGGUGACUUUUUUUUUUUUGGUACCAGGGAUUGAACUUGGGGCCUUGCGCUUUCAAGACAGGCGGUGGAACCACUGAGCUAAAUCCCCAGCUGGAUGACUUUUUCUUCUAUAGAUUUCUCAAUGAACAUCAGUUGAUUUUAUAAAUUUUAAAAAUCUGCAUUUUCUUCUAGAAUAGAGCCUUCAAGCUGUAGCAUGUUCACAUACCUGUUGUGUCUAAAACAUAUAUCCUACUGUACUAUGAAUACUGAUUUAUACUAUAUCCUGGUUUUGUUACUAUUCCUCAAAAUGUGACCUUAUAGAUAUAUAAAUAUAGGUUUCAGAUAUGCUGAUGUUUACACUACAAAGAAAUACUUCUGUGAAUUCUAUACCACCCACAAAAGACCAAAGGGAAAGAAAAGGUAAAACUUCAAAGUUAUCAGCAGGAAAUGAGUGUCAAUGCAACAGCUGCUGUCACAAGGCACCAAAGGAAUUGCAUCUACAAGGAACAAAGAAGACAAACACACAAGUUAACAUGGGAGAAACAGAAGCCCCCCCGACUGCUGAUGAACCAUCCAACAGAGAAGGGGAGGCUACCAGGCAAUUCUCAUCUAAAGACAAAGGACUCUUUAGAACAGGCAGGAUGCCAACAGCAGAUGAGAGAGACAAGCAAGAGAUGACAGUGUCUGAGGCUUAUUCCAGGCACAGGCAGACUGAAGUUGAAGAUUUGAGCAAGGAAGCAGGAGGUAAAGCUGAUAGCAAAGGCUACAGCCAAACUGCAAAUGAUCUCUACCACAACCUGGGCAUUCUCUGUAACUCCCUACGUGUGAGUCCUUCAAUACUUUUAAGACUGUGA
rnacentral:lncRNA from 1 species